rfam:Corchorus capsularis cultivar CVL-1 contig10803, whole genome shotgun sequence.
UCUGGGCAUGUGAUGAAUCUCAUUUUUAAUGGGUAAUUUGCGACUGAAUUGUUUCUUUGAUGCUAAAUCACCUUGGAGAACUGAUGCCCAUU